UAAGUAAGCUUUGAUCCAGAGAUUUCCGAAUGGGGAAACCCAGCAUGAGUUAUGUCAUGUUAUCGAUAUGUGAAUACAUAGCAUAUCAGAAGGCACACCCGGAGAACUGAAACAUCUUAGUACCCGGAGGAAGAGAAAGAAAAUUCGAUUCCCUUAGUAGCGGCGAGCGAAACGGGAAGAGCCCAAACCAACAAGCUUGCUUGUUGGGGUUGUAGGACACUCUAUACGGAGUUACAAAGGACGACAUUAGACGAAUCAUCUGGAAAGAUGAAUCAAAGAAGGUAAUAAUCCUGUAGUCGAAAAUGUUGUCUCUCUUGAGUGGAUCCUGAGUACGACGGAGCACGUGAAAUUCCGUCGGAAUCUGGGAGGACCAUCUCCUAAGGCUAAAUACUCUCUAGUGACCGAUAGUGAACCAGUACCGUGAGGGAAAGGUGAAAAGCACCCCGGAAGGGGAGUGAAAUAGAACCUGAAACCGUGUGCUUACAAGUAGUCAGAGCCCGUUAAUGGGUGAUGGCGUGCCUUUUGUAGAAUGAACCGGCGAGUUACGAUUUGAUGCAAGGUUAAGCAGUAAAUGUGGAGCCGUAGCGAAAGCGAGUCUGAAUAGGGCGUUUAGUAUUUGGUCGUAGACCCGAAACCAGGUGAUCUACCCUUGGUCAGGUUGAAGUUCAGGUAACACUGAAUGGAGGACCGAACCGACUUACGUUGAAAAGUGAGCGGAUGAACUGAGGGUAGCGGAGAAAUUCCAAUCGAACCUGGAGAUAGCUGGUUCUCUCCGAAAUAGCUUUAGGGCUAGCCUCAAGUGAUGAUUAUUGGAGGUAGAGCACUGUUUGGACGAGGGGCCCCUCUCGGGUUACCGAAUUCAGACAAACUCCGAAUGCCAAUUAAUUUAACUUGGGAGUCAGAACAUGGGUGAUAAGGUCCAUGUUCGAAAGGGAAACAGCCCAGACCACCAGCUAAGGUCCCAAAAUAUAUGUUAAGUGGAAAA
rnacentral:rRNA from 1 species